UGGGGAAUAUUGCACAAUGGGCGCAAGCCUGAUGCAGCCAUGCCGCGUGUGUGAAGAAGGCCUUCGGGUUGUAAAGCACUUUCAGCGAGGAGGAAGGUGGUGAACUUAAUACGUUCAUCAAUUGACGUUACUCGCAGAAGAAGCACCGGCUAACUCCGUGCCAGCAGCCGCGGUAAUACGGAGGGUGCAAGCGUUAAUCGGAAUUACUGGGCGUAAAGCGCACGCAGGCGGUUUGUUAAGUCAGAUGUGAAAUCCCCGGGCUCAACCUGGGAACUGCAUUUGAAACUGGCAAGCUAGAGUCUCGUAGAGGGGGGUAGAAUUCCAGGUGUAGCGGUGAAAUGCGUAGAGAUCUGGAGGAAUACCGGUGGCGAAGGCGGCCCCCCUGGACGAAGACUGACGCUCAGGUGCGAAAGCGUGGGGAGCAAAACAGGAUUAGAUACCCUGGUAGUCCACGCUGUAAACGAUGUCGAUUUUGGAGGUUGUGCCCCUUGAGGCGUGGCUUCCGGAGCUAACGCGUUAAAUCGACCGCCU
rnacentral:rRNA from 1 species